GGAUAUAGAGAAAACAUCAGACGGAGAACUUUUCCUCUCUAAAAAAUAGACAGAGAAAAUGGCGCAUGGAACCUAAGAACAACAUAAUGAAAAUGCCGAACCCCCAGCUCCCUUCUUCUCCCCGCUUCUCCAUUUCUCAAAAUACACACACACAUCAAUCAUACACACGCAAAAACAACCAAAAGAAAAAAUCGCUUUAUGAGAGAGCCAUGGAUUAUUGAGUUGAAGAAAUCUGAAAUUUUCAAUUUUUAAAAGGAAUUAUAAAAAAGGAAGAAGAACCAAUUUGGUUCUCAAUUCUGUCGGCGCUGCUGUUGAUGCUGAAUUUCUACUGGGCUUCAGUCGAGUCCGUCUCGAUUUUUUGGUUCAUUUUAUCCAAUGUAAUCCGUUAUUUUCAGUGAGUUGAAGACUAGCAACAACAUUGAUGUAAGUUUACCUUUUUUUUAAUUGUCUUCAUUAAGAUAUCAUUCAGGUAUUUCUAUGAUUAGAACUUUUCUUUUCGUUAUUCUUUUGUAGGAUUGGUUUUCAGUUGGCCUUUCUUUUGUAGUUUUGUGUGAUUAAUUUUUGUUUUCCUCUUUAAUAAUAGUUGACUCUUUGAAGGCUUAGUAUGAACAUGUAUUAUGAUGAUUAAUAUCGGAUAAAGAUUUACAUGUUUAGGUUAUAUUAACACGGAGUGGUCUUUUCUUUUUAGAGAUCUUGUAGUUGUGGAUUUUGAAAUUUAUUUGCUCAUCAUUCUUUAAAUAUAUUUCUCAUGUAUCGAAAGUUUAUCUUAUCAUGAUACCCUAUUUCUUCUUCAAGUUUUUGUAUUUGCUAUGUAAAUAAUUCUGUGGACAUGUGCAACAAAAGUAAAACACUAAGCUAGGCAGAGAGCUUACGAUUUGAUUUAAUUCAAUCUUGGCUCACGUUUUUUUUUUGCCGAUUCACCCAUUUCCAUAGUAGUUGCAAUGAGCUGUAUUCAAAUGGGCCUAAAAUUGAAGGUGGUCAUAAGAAUUGACAACCUCCCACAAUGAUCUUGCUCUAGGCAUAGUGUAAUAAUAAAUCACCGUGACUAUGAGUACGGUUCCCGUGACAUAGUCAUGAUACCUAAUUCCCAAAUUCGGGUGCAUUUCAUGUAACCCGAUUAUAACAACUUCGAUAAUAAAACCCUUUGAAAUAAUUUGAGGCGUGCCAUUCCAAACAAAACCCUUAAGCUAUGACCUCAUAUAAUUAGUUAAUUCUUGUAGAACAUUUGAGGUGUGCCAUUUUCCCUUUAAUAACUUAUGGCCCUCAUGAAAUUAAUUCAAUCCUUGUAAAAAUCGAGGUGUGCCAUACACAAAUAAAAAUACAUAAGCUAUGACCCGCGCAUUAAUAUUAACUUGGAAUAGGAAAAACCCUUGAACAUCCGUAGCUUGCUUUAGAUGCAUUUUAUAAUAAAUCAUCGUGACUAUGAGUACGAUUCCCGUGGCAUAGUCAUGAUACCUAAUUCCCAAAUUCGGGUGUGCAUUUCAUGUAACCCGAUUAUAACAACUUCGAACAAUAAUAAAAUACACAUGUCGCGAAUCGUGGGUACAUUUCAUAUAGCGUGGUUUGCGAGGUGUUCCAAAAUGGCAAGUGUACGACAAUCAUAACUUGUUCCAAAAAUAAUUCCAUAAAUCCUAAAAAGCGGUUUUAAAUAAUUAAAAGCGGUUAAUAAGUUUAAAUGCACAAUAGGUUUAAAAUGUGUAGUAAUCAGGUAAUAAGCCAUUUUUAAUAGUUUAAGAGACCGUGCUAGAAUCACGGAACCCGGGAAUGCCUAACACCUUCUCCCGGGUUAACAUAAUUCCUUAUCUAGAAUUCUGGUUUGCAAACUUUUAAAUAAAGUCCAAAUUUCCUCGACUUGGGAUCUUAAAAUAAACCGGUGACUUGGGACACCAAAUAAAUUAUCCCAAGUGGCGACUCUGAUAAUUUAAAUAAAUAAUCUCAUUUCGAAUAAUGUCACUUUAAUUGAAAAACUCCCUUAUAUACCCCUCGGGUGUAAAAAGGAGGUGUGACAGCUUAUAUAACCACUAAAGGGAGGGUAAUGGGUAGUAAAAUGAUAUGAUGAAGUGUGCACUAAUGCAAUGUGUAGCCCCUCUCAUUGAGGAGUGAUUACCGAGCAUUGCAUGGGUAUGAUCCUGUAGGCUAAUCAACUUAGGACUUCCCUUUCCGAAUUCCCCUAUGUGUUUAAAUUCUAUAAACUUCCUCUCCUUAUAAUAUACAUGUGAGCUGUCCAAACCCCUCUUAUUUUCAUUAUCUGAAUUUCCUUGAUCAUAUAUGUAUUUAUAAUGUGAAAACUACCUUCAUUUGCAAAUGCACGUUGAAACUGUUUACUUGUUAAAAGGACUAAUUCACAUAGUUUAUGUUUGGCCGGGACCCACCAUUAUGGACCGCGAGGUGUACCUAACACCUUCCCCUCAAGGUUAUUUCGAGCCAUUCUCCUUAUCUCUGGUAAUGUAAACUAGUUACAUGAGUUAAUCGCUCUAGGUGCCCUAACGCACCUUAAUCGGUUAGGUGGCGACUCUUCAAGUACCCAAUUCCCAAAAGAAAAUGAGGUAUUCCCCCAUGAAUGUCGAAACCCGAACCUCCGCGAAGAGAAAAGGGGGCACGAUAGCAUGGCGACUCUGUUGGGGAUAUUUUAGGUUCUUACCAUAACGAACUUAUUUUUGUGAAUUAGUCUAAACAUGCUCUAGCCCACGUACCCUUCCCAUUAUUUGAAUUUAACUGUCUAUUUUCAAGCAUUUAUGAUUUCUUUAUUUUUUCUGAAACUGACUUGUCUCUUUGUCUUCUUUUUCCGCAACUGUCUUUCAAUUUUUUAAAUACUGCANNNAUNNNNNNUGUUAAUAUGCUAUUUAUUGUUGCAUAAACCAUGAUCAACAUCAUAUUCCACUCGUCCGUAAUCAAUCACAUAGCAACGCUUGAUGAGUGUUUGCACUCUUCCUAUAUAUCACCCUUUAAAUUCAUAUUUGCGGUAAAACUAGUCGAUCAACGGUGCAUUCGAUGGUUCUGUGCCUUUCCCCCUCAAGUUGUCCGCUUGAGGGUCUCAGUCUAGACCUCUAUAGCAACCUUACUCUAAUUAAUUGUGCAUGCAUCAUGUUCAAACCUAGCCGGGUUAAUAUGUUGUCCACAUAAUGACCGUUUAAGACAAACCUUACCCAAAGUCCAUUGGGUUUUCCAUAAUCCCAACGGACGCAAUCACGAUUAUGUGCAUUAAUUUGGAGAAAUAAGUGCCAAUAUGCUAAUCAUUGCUGUAUAAAUAAACGAACCCGGAGGGGGAAGGGCCUAACUAUCUUUUGUCUUGCAGAAAAUGAGGCACGAGGUCCCCAAAUUUGGUAUGGUUGGUAGCAUACCCUUACUCUUGCUAGAUUGGUGGAGGGAUCUUCCUUCACGUGACCAAAACCAUGUGAAACGAGUCUUAGGAAACUUGCCUUCUCUGUUGGAUCUUCAACCAAACAAAAU
rnacentral:lncRNA from 1 species